rnacentral:rRNA from 1 species
GCCUACGGCCAUCCCACCCUGGUAACGCCCGAUCUCGUCUGAUCUCGGAAGCUAAGCAGGGUCGGGCUCUAUUAGUAUUCUCUGAUUAGGAAACAUCAGCUUUUUUUUGCU